CACCCCGACGAGGGGAGUGAAACAGUACCUGAAACCGAACGCCUACAAUCAGUCGGAGCUUGACUGGACUCUAAUAACAAUCUGCGCCAUGGAGAUCUUCUGACCAUCAGGAGAUACAAUAUGGCCGACGGAACCUUUGCAGUGCUUAUGCUCAUAGCGGGUCUUACCGAUAUGAACAGUAAUUACUGUGGAACAUCAACAGGAUGCCUAGGGACGUCUGAUACGACGCCCCGUCUGGAAUUUUCUGCUGGACAGGUUCUGGAACGGCGGGCCGAUACAGCGGAAGAAGUUUAUCUGCGUUACGAUCUGGGCCGAAACUACGGCCCGUUCGGAAGCGCAGUUGGCUUGUCGGUCGGCGAGCAUGGCGAAACUUGGCUCGGUAUGGGCGCAACCUAUACCGUAAAUAUUGCACAGAGCCCUGUUUACGCAGAGCUACAUGUGAUGCCUGGUUUAUAUGCUGACAAUGGUGGGUUCGACCUCGGUGGACCGCUCGAAUUCCGUUCGGGCAUCGAACUGGGAUACGAACUCCGCAGUGGCUGGCGUAUGGCGCUGAGCUAUGAUCACCGUUCCAAUGCAGGAAUAUUCGACAACAAUCCGGGAAUUGAAACAGUUCAGUUCAGGGUGUCGAUGCCCUUAAGAUAAUUGUUAUUAGUGUCCAGUCUUGUGACGGCGUACCUUUUGUAUAAUGGGUCAUCGACUUGGUCUAUCUAGCAAGCUUAAGCCG
rnacentral:rRNA from 1 species